rnacentral:lncRNA from 1 species
ACAAAACUAGCUUAGACUGGAUUUAAUUACUAUUGUGCUCAAGCUACAGUAUGGAGCUUUAAUUAGCACUUACUUACUCUCCUUGCUAUGCUUGCAGAGGUAGAGGGAUCAUGCCUCAUAUGCAGAGUUACGUAUACUUAAGAAUCAGGUGCAAUGUCAUCAUAUUUUUAUUUACUUUCUACCACUUCUUCUCCGAGUGAAAAUUUAGUGUAUAUAUGUAGAACAAUGACAUCUAUGCUGAUAUGUGUAUGCAACUCUCCUUAUUUUGUUAGUUUCUACAAGGGUCUGUCACAAUUUUGUUUUAUUUGUCUGCGGUGAUUUAGUUCCCACUGCUUGUAAUUUGUGGUAGAGAAAUUGAGAGGGAGGCCUCACUGUGAGAGUUUGCAGUUUGUGUGUCGAUGUUGCUCGUGGUGGUGAAUGGAAAGUCGGCCGUGUAGCCGCCUGUUGCGUAGUUGUGUGCCGAUGUUACUCGCGGUGGUGAAUCGGAAGGCCGGCCGUGUAGCCGCUUGUUGCGUACCAUGGUGGCAGUGGUCAGCCCUGUGAGGAGGAAAGAGAAGAAUGGCAUGUAGAUCAGUGGGUAGCAAGAGUUUCGCGCUGAUCACGUGCCCAAGCACAGGCACGCGAAGAAACACGACAAUAAGAUUGAUCAUACGAUUGCGGCUAAAAGUGUAAGUGGUCAGGGGGAGGAGGAUUGAGGAGAGAUGGCAUGGAACUGACUAAAGUAAAUGGGAGGGAACCGGUGAGUGGGGGAGGGAUGCAUCGGUGAUGGAAGAUGGGACUGGUUGCUGAAUUGCUAGCUAGGAGAGCAAAUCGGCUAGUUGUGGUUCAUGAAAAUUUGUGUUCGCUCCGUAGAAAAGCACGAGCAUAGAAUAUGUAUACCCGUUGCAACGCACGGGCUCUUUUCCUAGUACUAAUCUUAUGGUAGGUGAUGGCACCACAUAAGGAAAAGUAUAAGUAGAAAAUUUUAUUAGAGACUGACAAACAUAACAUUAGUCAAUGAUGCAACUCAUGAAAGAAUUAAUAAGGGAAGAGAAGAUUCACAUAUAAAUAUACUAUCCUAGAAAUCUUUUGUGAUUCUGAGCCCCCAUCAAAAUAUUAUAUGCCAAAAUUAUUGACGUUGGACAAGGAAGACAACUUAAUGAUUUAUGUUUGUUCAUAUUCACAUAGAAGUUAUAUUGUCAUAGAUCCUUUAACAUGUGGUGCUUGCCCCCUAUCUUUGCUAGCCAAAAAUUCCGCACUAAGUAUAGAUACUACUUGUGCAUCCAAAUCCCUUUAAACCCAAAUCUUAUUUUCAAAUGUCCACCAUACCUACCUAGGGAUUGAGCAAGAUCCCUCAAGUAAGUUGUCAUCAGUGCAAAAAGGCAAUAAAAAUUACUUCUAAAUGUGUGAGAUUAUUUAGUGUAAGAGAAAAUUGAGCGUUGCACGAACUUGCGAUGGUGAAGAAUAAAAGCGACGGACUGCAUAAUAAAGGUCGCUAUCACAAGGGGCAAUGCAACGUGACGUUCUUUUGCACUAAGGGGUUGAGCAUACAAACAAAUAAGCGAAUGGCAACCUCUGCUUACCUCUGUGAAGGGCCUAUCUUUUACUUUCAUGUAUUUAAUUUUAUGCAAAGAGUCAAAGUUUUCUCUCUAUUCCUUUUUAUUUUCUCCUUUUGCAAGCAUCAUGUGGUGAGGAAAGAUCUAGGCACAUAUGUCCAGUUGAAUAUGGGUAGCAUGAGUUAUGAUUAUUGACAUCACCCUUGAGGUGAAUACGUUGGGAGGCGAAACUAUAAGCCCCCGUCUUCUUAUGUGUCCUGUUGAAACGUUUCGCUCAUAUGUAUGCGGUGAGUGUUAGCAAUCAGAGAAGACUAUAUGAUGGUUGAGUAUGUGGACUUGCCUAAAGGCUCCGAUACAUGACCCUUCCUGAAAAGAUGAUGAAUUGUAGUUGCAAAGUUGACUGAGAACAUAGUUUGUUGGUUUUAAAUAGAGUUUUUGGUUUAUACUUUGAUUGUGUGAUGAACUGUUACUUAUUCAUGAGAAGUUUAUGAUACAAGUGUUGGAAAUAUGCCCUAGAGGCAAUAAUAAAUGGUUAUUAUUAUAUUUCUUUGUUCAUGGUAAUUGUCUAUUAUUCAUGCUAUAAUUGUAUUGUCCGGAAAUCGUAAUACAUGUGUGAAUACAUAGACCACAACCUGUCCCUAGUAAGCCUCUAGUUGACUAGCUCGUUGAUCAACAGAUAGUCAUGGUUUCCUGACUAUGGACAUUGGAUGUCAUUGAUAACGGGAUCACAUCAUUAGGAGAAUGAUGUGAUGGACAAGACCCAACUUAAGCAUAGCAUAAAAGAUCGUGUAGUUUCGUUUGCUAGAGCUUUUCCAAUGUCAAGUAUCUUUUCCUUAGACCAUGAGAUCGUGCAACUCCCGGAUACCGUAGGAGUGCUUUGGGUGUGCCAAACGUCACAACGUAACUGGGUGACUAUAAAGGUGCAUUACGGGUAUCUCCGAAAGUGUCUGUUGGGUUGGCACGGAUCGAGACUGGGAUUUGUCACUCCGUGUAAACGGAGAGGUAUCUCUGGGCCCACUCGGUAAUGCAUCAUCAUAAUGAGCUCAAUGUGACUAAAGGCGUUAGUCACGGGAUCAUGCAUUGCGGUACGAGUAAAGAGACUUGCCGGUAACGAGAUUGAACUAGGUAUUGGGAUACCGACGAUCGAAUCUCGGGCAAGUAACAUACCGAUUGACAAAGGGAAUUGCAUACGGAUUGAUUGAAUCCUCGACACCGUGGUUCAUCCGAUGAGAUCAUCGUGGAGCAUGUGGGAGCCAACAUGGGUAUCCAGAUCCCGCUGUUGGUUAUUGACCGGAGAGGCGUCUCGGUCAUGUCUGCAUGUCUCCCGAACCCGUAGGGUCUACACACUUAAGGUCCGGUGACGCUAGGGUUGUAGAGAUAUAUGUAUGCGGAAACCCGAAAGUUGUUCGGAGUCCCAGAUGAGAUCCCGGACGUCACGAGAGGUUCCGGAAUGGUCCGGAGGUAAAGAUUUAUAUAUGGGAAGUCUUAUUUUGGUCGCCGGAAAAGUUUCGCGCUUUAUCGGUAUUGUACCGGGAGUGCCGAAAGGGGUCCGGGGGUCCACCAAGGGGGUCCACCAGCCCCGGGGGGCCACAUGGGCUGUAAGGGGUGCGCCUUGGCCUAUAUGGGCCAAGGGCACCAGCCCCAAGAGGCCCAUGCGCAAGAGAUAAGAAAGAAGGGAGAGUCCUAAAGGGGGAAGGCACCUCCGAGGUGCCUUGGGGGGGAAGGACUCCCCCCUGGCCGCACCCUUCCUUGGAGGAAGGGGCAAGGCUGCGCCCCCCCCCCUCUCCCUUGGCCCUAUAUAUAGUGGGGGGAAGGGAGGGCAGCAACAUCUAAGCCUUGGGCGCCUCCCUCCUCCCCUGCAACACCUCUCUCUCUCUCGCAGAAGCUUGCGAAGCCCUGCCGGAGAGCUGCUACAUCCACCACCACGCCGUCGUGCUGUUGGAUCUCCAUCAACCUCUCCUUCCCCCUUGCUGGAUCAAGAAGGAGGAGACGUCGCUGCACCGUACGUGUGUUGAACGCGGAGGUGCCGUACGUUCGGCACUCGGUCAUCGGUGAUUUGGAUCACGGCGAGUACGACUCCGUCAUCCACGUUCAUUGGAACGCUUCCGCUCGCGAUCUACAAGGGUAUGUAGAUCCACUCCUUUCCCUUCGUUGCUAGUAGACUCCAUAGAUGCAUCUUGGUGAGCGUAGGAAAAUUUUAAAUUAUGCUACGAUUCCCUACAGUGGCAUCAUGAGCCAGGUCUAUGCGUAGUUACUAUGCACGAGUAGAACACAAAGUAGUUGUGGGCGUUGAGUUUGCCAAUUCUUCUUGCCGCUACUAGUCUUUUCUUGUUUCGGCGGCAUUGUAGGAUGAAGCGGCCCGGACCGACCUUACACGUACUCUUACGUGAGACAGGUUCCACCGACUGACAUGCACUAGUUGCAUAAGGUGGCUAGCGGGUGUCUGUCUCUCCUACUUUAGUCGGAACAGAUUCGAUGAAAAGGGUCCUUAUGAAGGGUAAAUAGAAAUUGGCAAAUCACGUUGUGGUCAUACGUAGGUAAGAAACGUUCUUGCUAGAAACCUACAAACCACGUAAAAACUUGCAACAACAAUUAGAGGACGUCUAACUUGUUUUUGCAGCAAGUGCUAUGUGAUGUGAUAUGGCCAGAAGAUGUGAUGAAUGAUAUAUAUGAUGUAUGAGAUUGAUCAUAUUCUUGUAAUAGGAAUCACGACUUGCAUGUCGAUGAGUAUGACAACCGGCAGGAGCCAUAGGAGUUGUCUUUAUUAUUUUGUAUGACCUGCGUGUCAUUGAAUAACGCCAUGUAAAUUACUUUACUUUGUUGCUAAACGCGUUAGCCAUAGAAGUAGAAGUAAUCUUUGGCGUGACGACUUCAUGAAGACACAAUGAUGGAGAUCAUGAUGAUAGAGAUCAUGGUGUCAUGCCGGUGACAAAGAUGAUCAUGGUGCCCCGAAGAUGGAGAUCAAAGGAGCAUAAUGAUAUUGGCCAUAUCAUGUCACUAUUUGAUUGCAUGUGAUGUUUAUCAUGUUUUGCAUCUUAUUUGCUUAGUACGACGGUAGUAAGUAAGAUGAUCCCUUAUAAUAAUUUCAAGAAAGUGUUCACCCUAACUGUGCACCGUUGCGAAGGUUCGUCGUUUCGAAGCACCACGUGAUGAUCGGGUGUGAUAGAUUCUUACGUUCGAAUACAACGGGUGUUGACGAGCCUAGCAUGUACAGACAUGGCCUCGGAACACACGCAAUACACUUAGGUUGACUUGACGAGCCUAGCAUGUACAGACAUGGCCUUGGAAUACGGAGGACCGAAAGGUCGAGCAUGAGUCGUAUAGAAGAUACGAUCAACAUGGAGAUGUUCACCGAUCUUGAAUAGUCCGUCUCACGUGAUGAUCGGACACGGCCUAGUUAAACUCGGAUCAUGUUUCACUUAGAUGACCAGAGGGAUGUCUAUCUGAGUGGGAGUUCAUAAUCAGAUGAACUUCAUUAUCAUGAACAUAGUCAAAUAGGUAUUUGCAAAUUAUGUCAUAGCUUGCGCUUUAGUUCUACUGGUUAAGAUAUGUUCCUAGAGAAAAUUUAGUUGAAAGUUGGUAGUAGCAAUUAUGCGGACUAGGUCCGUAAACUGAGGAUUGUCCUCAUUGCUACACAGAAGGCUUAUGUCCUUAAUGCACCGCUCGGUGUGCUGAACCUCAGCGUCGUCUGUAGAUGUUACGAAACAUCUGACAUACACGUUUUGAUGACUACGUGAUAGUUCGGUGCAGUUUAGAAUUGUGGCACCAAAGACGUUGUUGAAACAUCGCAAAACAUGUGAGAUGUUCCGAAGACUGAAAUUGGGAUUUCAGACUAGUGCCCACGUCAAGAGGUAUGAGACCUCUGACAAGUUUCUUAAGCCAGCAAACUAAGGGAGAAAAGCUCAAUCGUUGAGCGUGUGCUCAGAUUGUCUGAGUGCCACAAUCGCUUGAAUCGAGUGGGAGUUAAUCUCCCAGAUGAGAUAGUGAUAGUUCUCCAUAGUCACUGCCACCAAGCUAGUAGAGCUUCGUGAUGAACUAUAACAUAUCAAGGAUAAUUAUGAUGAUCCUUGAGCUAUUCGCGAUGCUUGACACCGCGAGAGUAGAAAUCAAGAAGGAGCAUCAAUUGUUGAUGGUUAGUAAAAUCACUAGUUUAAGAAGGGCAAGGGCAAAAGGGAUACUUCAUGAAACAGCAAGUCGUUUGCUGCUCUAGUGAAGAAUCCCAAGGUUGAACCCAAACCCGAGACUAAGUGCUUCUGUAAUGAGAGGAACGGUCACUGAAGCAGUACUACCCUAGAUACUUGGUAGAUGAGAAGGCAGGCAAGGUCGACAGAAGUAUAUUGGAUAUACGUUAUAUGAAUGUGUACUUUACUAGUACUCCUAGCAGCACCAGGGUAUUAGAUACUGGUUCGGUUGCUAAGCGUUAGUAACUCGAAAUAAAAGCUGCGGAAUAAAUGGAGACUAGCUAAAGGUGAGAUGACGAUAUGUGUUGGAAGUGUUUCCAAGGUUGAUGUGAUCAAGCAUCGCAUGCUCCCUCUACCAUCGAGAUUUGGUGUUUGCGGUGAACAUGAUUGGAUUAUGUUUACCGCAAAACGGUUAUUCAUUUAAGGAGAAUAAUGGUUACUCUGUUUAUUUGAAUAAUACCUUCAAUGGUCUUGCACCUAAAAUGAAUCUCGAUCGUAGUGAUACACAUGUUCGUGCCAAAAGAUAUAAAAUAGUAAUGAUAGUACCACAUACUUGUGGCACUGCAACUUGAGUCAUAUUGGUAUAGAACGCAUGAAGAAGCUCCGUGUAGAUGGAUCUUUGGACUCACUCGUUUUUGAAAAGAUUGAGACAUGCGAACCAUGUCUAUUGGUAUAUAUGCAUGAAGAAACUCCAUACAGAUGGAUCGUUUGGACUCACUUGAUUAUGAAUCUCUUAAGACAUGCAAAUCAUACCACGUGGGCAAAAUGACUGAAUGUCCUCGUUUUCAGUAAGAUGGAACAAGAGAGCAACUUAUUGGAAGUAAUACAUUUUGAUGUACACAGUCCAAUGAGUGCUGAGGCAUGCAGUGGAUAUCGUUAUGUUCUUACUUCACAGAUGAUUUGAGUAGAUGUUGAGUGUAUUUACUUGAUGAAACACAAGUCUGAAUUAUUGAAAGAUUCAAGUAAUUUCAGAGUGAAGUUGAAGAUCAUCGUGACAAGAGGAUAAAAUGUCUGUGAUAUGAUCAUAGAGAUGAGUAUCUGAGUUACGAGUUUGGCACACAAUUGAGACAUUGUGGAAAGUGUUUCACAAUUAAUACCGCCUGGAACACCAUAGUGUGAUGGUGUGUCCGAACAUCAUAACUGCACCCUAUUGGAUAUGGUGCAUACCAUGAUGUUUCUUAUCAAAUUACCACUAUCGUUUAUGGGUUAGGCAUUAGAGACAACCGCAUUCACUUUAAAAGGGGCACCACGCAAUUCCGUUGAGACGACACCGUUUAUAGAAACCUAAGUUGUCGUUUCUUAAAAGUUUGGGGCUGCGAUGCUUAUGUGAAAAAGUUUCAGGCUGAUAAGCUCGAACCCAAAGCGGAUAAAUGCAUCUUCAUAGAAUACCCAAAAACAGUUGGGUAUACCUCCUAUUUCAGAUCUGGAAGCAAAAGUAAUUGCUUCUAGAAAUGAGUCCUUUCUCGAGGAAAAGUUUCUCUCGAAAGAAUUGAGUGGGAGGAUGGUGGAGACUUGAUAAGGUUAUUGAACCGUCGCUUCAACUAGUGUGUAGCAGGGCACAUGAAGUUGUCCCUGUGGCACCUACACCAAUUGAAGUGGAAGCUUAUGAUAGUGAUCAUGAAACUUCGGAUCAAGUCACUACCAAACCUCGUAGGACGACGAGGAUGCGCACUACUUCAGAGUAAUGCGUGAUCCUGUCUUGGAAGUCAUGUUGCUAGACAACAAUGAACCUACGAGCUGUGGACAAGCGAUGGUGGGCCCAUAUUCCGACGAAUGGCUCGAGGCCAUGAAAUCCGAGAUAGAAUCCAUGUAUCAGAACAAAGCAUGGACUUUGGUGAACUUGCCCGAUGAUCGGCAAGCCAUUGAGAUAAAUGGAUCUUUAAGAAGAAGACGGACAUGGACGGUAAUGUUACCGUCUAUGAAGCUCGACUUGUGGCAAAGAGUAUUUUCACAAGUUCAAGGAGUUGACUACGAUGAGUUUUUCUCAUCCGUAGCGAUGCUUAGGUCCGUCGGAAUCAUGUUAGCAUUAGCUACAUUUAUGAAAUCUGGCAGAUGGAUGUCAAAACAAGUUUCCUUACCAGUUUUCGUAAGGAAAGGUUGUAUGUGAUACAAUCAGAAAGGUUUUGUCGAUCCUAAGGAUGCUAAAAGGUAUGCUAGCUCCAGCGAUCCUUCCAUGGAUUAGAGCAAGCAUCUCGGAGUCAGAAUAUACGCUUUGAUGGAGUGAUCAAAGUUUUUGGGUUUAUACAAAGUUUGUUAGAAACUUGUAUUUACAAUAAAGUGAGUGGGAGCGCUACAACAUUUCUGAUAAGUAUAUGUGAAUGACAUAUUGUUGAUCCGAAAUGAUGUAAAAUUUCUGGAAAGCAUAAAGGGUUGUUUGAAAGGAGUUUUUCAAAGGAAGACCUGGAUAAAGCUACUUACAUAUUGGGCAUCAAGAUCCAUAGAGAUAGAUCAAGACGCCUGAUGAUACUUUCAAAAGACAGCACACCUUAACAUGAUUUUGAAAGAGUUCAAAAUAGAUCAGCAAACAAGGAGUUCUUGGCUGUGUUACAAGGUGUGAGUAUUGAGUGAGACUCAAGACCUGACCACAGCAGAAGAUAGAGAAAGGACGAAGGUCGUCCCCUAUGCUUUAGACGUAGGCUCUAUAGUAUGCUAUGCUGUGUACCGCACAUGUAGUGUGCGUUGCCAUGAGUUGGUCAAGGGGGUACAAUGGUGAUCCGGAAAGGAUCUCAUGACAGCGGUCGAACUUAUCCUUAGUACCUAGUGGAUUAAGGAAUUUUUCUCGAUUAUGGAGGUGGAAAGGAGUUCGUCGUAAAGGGUUACGUCGAUGCGAACUUUGACACUAAUCCGGAUAACUCUGUGUAGUAAACCGGAUUCGUAUAGUAGAGCAAUUAUUUGAAAUGGCUCCAAAUAGCGCAUGGUAGCAUCCACAAGAUGACAUAGAUAUUCGUAAAGCACACGGUUCUGAAAGGUUCAGACCCGUUGACUAAUAACCUCUCUCACAAGCAUAACAUGAUCAAACCAGAACACAUUGAGUGUUAAUCACAUAGUGAUGUGAACUAGAUUGUUGACUCUAGUAAACUCUUUAGAUGUUGGUCACAUGGUGAUGUGACCAGUGAAUGUUAAUCACAUGGUGAUGUGAACUAGAUUAUUGACUCUAGUGCAAGUGGGAGACUGUUGGAAAUAUGCCCUAGAGGCAAUAAUAAAUGGUUAUUAUUAUAUUUCUUUGUUCAUGGUAAUUGUCUAUUAUUCAUGCUAUAAUUGUAUUGUCCGGAAAUCGUAAUACAUGUGUGAAUACAUAGACCACAACCUGUCCCUAGUAAGCCUCUAGUUGACUAGCUCGUUGAUCAACAGAUAGUCAUGGUUUCCUAACUAUGGACAUUGGAUGUCAUUGAUAACGGGAUCACAUCAUUAGGAGAAUGAUGUGAUGGACAAGACCCAACUUAAGCAUAGCAUAAAAGAUCGUGUAGUUUCGUUUGCUAGAGCUUUUCCAAUGUCAAGUAUCUUUUCCUUAGACCAUGAGAUCGUGCAACUCCCGGAUACCGUAGGAGUGCUUUGGGUGUGCCAAACGUCACAACGUAACUGGGUGACUAUAAAGGUGCAUUACGGGUAUCUCCGAAAGUGUCUGUUGGGUUGGCACGGAUCGAGACUGGGAUUUGUCACUCCGUGUGACGGAGAGGUAUCUCUGGGCCCACUCGGUAAUGCAUCAUCAUAAUGAGCUCAAUGUGACUAAGGCGUUAGUCACGGGAUCAUGCAUUGCGGUACGAGUAAAGAGACUUGCCGGUAACGAGAUUGAACAAGGUAUUGGGAUACCGACGAUCGAAUCUCGGGCAAGUAACAUACCGAUUGCCAAAGGGAAUAGCAUACGGAUUGAUUGAAUCCUCGACACCGUGGUUCAUCCGAUGAUAUCAUCGUGGAACAUGUGGGAGCCAACAUGGGUAUCCAGAUCCCGCUGUUGGUUAUUGACCGGAGAGGCGUCUCGGUCAUCUCUGCAUGUCUCCCGAACCCGUAGGGUCUACACACUUAAGGUCCGGUGACGCUAGGGUUGUAGAGAUAUAUGUAUGCGGAAACCCGAAAUUUGUUCGGAGUCCCGGAUGAGAUCCCGGACGUCACGAGAGGUUCCGGAAUGGUCCGGAGGUAAAGAUUUAUAUAUGGGAAGUCUUAUUUUGGUCGCCGGAAAAGUUUCGCACUUUAUCGGUAUUGUACCGGGAGUGCCGAAAGGGGUCCGGGGGUCCACCAAGGGGGCCCACCAGCCCCGGGGGGCCACAUGGGCUGUAAGGGGUGCGCCUUGGCCUAUAUGGGCCAAGGGCACCAGCCCCAAGAGGCCCAUGCGCAAGAGAUAAGAAAAAAGGGAGAGUCCUAAAGGGGGAAGGCACCUCCGAGGUGCCUUGGGGGGAAAGGACUCCCCCCUGGCCACACCCUUCCUUGGAGGAAGGGGCAAGGCUGCGCCCCCCCCUCUCCCUUGGCCCUAUAUAUAGUGGGGGGAAGGGAGGGCAGCAACAUCUAAGCCUUGGGCGCCUCCCUCCUCCCCUGCAACACCUCUCUCUUGUUGGAAAUAUGCCCUAGAGGCAAUAAUAAAUGGUUAUUAUUAUAUUUCUGUGUUCAUGAUAAUAGUCUAUUAUUCGUGCUAUAAUUGUAUUGUCCGGAAAUCAUAAUACAUGUGUGAAUACAUAGACCACAACCUGUCCCUAGUAAGCCUCUAGUUGACUAGCUCGUUGGUCAACAGAUAGUCAUGGUUUCCUGACUAUGGACAUUGGAUGUCAUUGAUAACGGGAUCACAUCAUUAGGAGAAUGAUGUGAUGGACAAGACCCAACUUAAGCAUAGCAUAAAAGAUCGUGUAGUUUCGUUUGCUAGAGCUUUUCCAAUGUCAAGUAUUUUUUCCUUAGACCAUGAGAUCGUGCAACUCCCGGAUACCGUAGGAGUGCUUUGGGUGUGCCAAACGUCACAACGUAACUGGGUGACUAUAAAGGUGCAUUACGGGUAUCUCCGAAAGUGUCUGUUGGGUUGGCACGGAUCGAGACUGGGAUUUGUCACUCCGUGUGACGGAGAGGUAUCUCUGGGCCCACUCGGUAAUGCAUCAUCAUAAUGAGCUCAAUGUGACUAAGGCGUUAGUCACGGGAUCAUGCAUUGCGGUACGAGUAAAGAGACUUGCCGGUAACGAGAUUGAACAAGGUAUUGGGAUACCGACGAUCGAAUCUCGGGCAAGUAACAUACCGAUUGACAAAGGGAAUUGCAUACGGAUUGAUUGAAUCCUCGACACCGUGGUUCAUCCGAUGAUAUCAUCGUGGAACAUGUGGGAGCCAACAUGGGUAUCCAGAUCCCGCUGUUGGUUAUUAACCGGAGAGGCUUCUCGGUCAUGUCUGCAUGUCUCCCGAACCCGUAGGGUCUACACACUUAAGGUCCGGUGACGCUAGGGUUGUAGAGAUAUAUGUAUGCGGAAACCCGAAGGUUGUUCGGAGUCCCGGAUGAGAUCCCGGACGUCACGAGAGGUUCCGGAAUGGUCCGGAGGUAAAGAUUUAUAUAUGGGAAGUCUUAUUUUGGUCGCCGGAAAAGUUUCGCGCUUUAUCGGUAUUGUACCGGGAGUGCCGAAAGGGGUCCGGGGGUCCACCAAGGGGGUCCACCAGCCCCCGGGGGCCACAUGGGCUGUAAGGGGUGCGCCUUGGCCUAUAUGGGCCAAGGGCACCAGCCCCAAGAGGCCCAUGCGCAAGAGAUAAGAAAGAAGGGAGAGUCCUAAAGGGGGAAGGCACCUCCGAGGUGCCUUGGGGGGGAAGGACUCCCCCCUGGCCGCACCCUUCCUUGGAGGAAGGGGCAAGGCUGCGCCCCCCCCCCUCUCCCUUGGCCCUAUAUAUAGUGGGGGGAAGGGAGGGCAGCAACAUCUAAGCCUUGGGCGCCUCCCUCCUCCCCUGCAACACCUCUCUCUCUCUCUCGCAGAAGCUUGCGAAGCCCUGCCGGAGAGCCGCUACAUCCACCACCACGCCGUCGUGCUGUUGGAUCUCCAUCAACCUCUCCUUCCCCCUUGCUGGAUCAAGAAGGAGGAGACGUCGCUGCACGGUACGUGUGUUGAACGCGGAGGUGCCGUACGUUCGGCACUCGGUCAUCGGUGAUUUGGAUCACGGCGAGUACGACUCCGUCAUCCACGUUCAUUGGAACGCUUCCGCUCGCGAUCUACAAGGGUAUGUAGAUCCACUCCUUUCCCUUCGUUGCUAGUAGACUCCAUAGAUGCAUCUUGGUGAGCGUAGGAAAAUUUUAAAUUAUGCUACGAUUCCCUACAACAAGUUCUAUGAUAAAAGCCUUAUGUUUAAUUUUGUUGCUGUUAUAAUAAUCUACAUGAUGCUUCUAUGUCCGUAUUUUGUUUUUAUCGAGACCUCUCUCUCUAAGCAUGUGGACAUGUUUUACGAUUUCGGUUUUCGCUUGAGGACAAGCGAGGUCUAAGCUUGGGGGAGUUGAUACGUCCAUUUUGCAUCAUGUUUUCCUACUGUUAUUUAUGAUGUUUUUAUCCAUAAUAAUGCUUUUUGGAGUAAUUCUAAUGCCUUUUCUUUCAUAAUAUGCAAGGUAUACACAAAGAGGGAGAAUUCCGGUAGCUGGAAAUCUGGACCUGGAAAAACUACGUUAGGUCACCUAUUCUGCACAACUCCAAACAAGCUGAAACUUCAUGGAGAUUUUUUAUUGAAUAUUUGAAAAAUAUUGGAGCAAAUAACUACCAGAGGGGGCCCACCAGGUGGGCACAACCCACCUGGGCGCGCCAGGGAGCCCAGGCGCGCCCUGGUGGGUUGUGCUCACCCAGGCCCACCUCCGGUGCCCAUCUUCUAGUAUAUAAGUCAUUUUGGCCUAGAAAAAAAUUAGGAGAGGACUUUCGGGACGGAGCGCCGCCGUCUCGAGGCAGAACUUGGGUAGGAGCACUUUUGCCCUCCGGUGGAGCGAUUCCGCCGGGGGAACUUCCCUCCCGGAGGGGGAAAUCAUCGUCCUCAUCAUCACCAACAACUCUCCCAUCUUGGGGAGGGCAAUCUCCAUCAACAUCUUCAACAGCACCAUCUCAUCUCAAACCCUAGUUCAUCUCUUGUGUUCAAUCUUGUUACCGGACCUAUAGAUUGGUGCUUGUGGGUGACUAGUAGUGAUGAUUACAUCUUGUAGUUGGUUACUAUAUGGUUUAUUUGAUGAAAGAUUAUAUGUUCAGAUCCAAUAUGCUAUUUAAUACCCCUCUGAUCUUGAGCAUUAUUAUCAUUUGUGAGUAGUUAUUUUUGUUCUUGAGGUCAUGGGAGAAAUCGUGUUGCAAGUAAUCAUGUGAACUUGAUAUGUGUUCGAUAUUUUGAUAGUAUGUAUGUUGUGAUUCCUUUAGUGGUGUCAUGUGAACAUUGACUACAUGACACUUCACCAUAUUUGGGCCUAGGGAAAUGCAUUGUGGAGUAGCAAUUAAAUGAUGGGAUGCGAGAGUGACAGAAGCUUAAACCCCAGUUUAUGCGCUAUUCCGUAAGGGACCGAUUGGAUCCAAAAGUUUAAUGCUACGGUUAGAAUUUAUUCUUAAUACUUUUCUCGUAGUUGUGGAUGCUUGCGGGAGGGUUAAUCAUAAGUAGGAGGUUUGUUCAUGUAAGAACAACACCUAAGCACCGGUCCACCCACAUAUCAAAUUAUCAAAGUAGCGAACACAAAUCAAACCAACAUGGUGAAAGUGACUAGAUAAAAAUCCCGUGUACCCUCAAGAACUCUUUGCUUAUUAUAAGAGACCGUUUUGGACUGUCCUUUGCAUCAAAAGGAUUGGGCUACCUUGCUGCACUUUAGUUACUAUUAUCGUUACUUGCUCGUUACAAAUUAUCUUACUAUCAAACUACUCUGCUACUUAUAAUUUCAGCACUUGCAGACAUUACUUUGCUGAAAACCACUUGUCAUUUCCUUCUGCUCCUCGUUGGGUUCGACACUCUUACUUACUGAAAAGAGCUACAAUUGAUCCCCUAUACUUGUGGGUCAUCACACUACAACUGGAUAUUAAAAACUCCCAUCUACGGCAUAACUGGAGGUACGGCUCUCGAAAGUUUAAACCCUACAUGGGUGUCCCAACUUAGCCCAUGACAAGCUCUCACGAUCAACGGAGGAAAAUCCUCCUCCUGGAACAACCCGAUCAAGCUCGAAAUCCCGGUUCACAAGACAUUUCGACAAUGGUAAAAUAAAAGCAGCAAGACUGCCCGAUGUGCCCACAAAUCCUGGUAGGAGCCGCACGUAUCUCGUUCUCAGGGCACACCGUAUGGGCCAGACAUCGAGUUGGCUGAGACCUUGGUUGCUCAGGGGGCGCCGGACAUUGCCCAGUUUGGACCAGCACCAACAGCACUGGCCCCCUGUAUUAUGUUGAAUUAAGAAUCCCCGGGAAUGCCACCCACUAUGCCAAUUAAUUAAUUAUAAGUAUUAUUAUGUUGGCAAAUGUUAAAACCAAUGUUGGGCCUUGCUAGAAGAGUUUUAUUCAAAGCGAACUGUCAAGGGGGCCCAUAAACCCCAACCGUGUUAGGAACGCAAAAUCAAAAAACAUAACACCGGUAUGAUGGAAACUAGGGCGGCAAGAGUGGAACAAAACACGAGGCAAAGGCCGAGCCUUCCACCCUUUACCAAGUACAUUGAUGCAUUAAUUUAAUAAGAGAUAUUGUGAUAUCCCAUGAUAUCCAUGUCCCAACAUGGAACAAACUGCAACUGCACCUGCAACUAGCAACGCUAUAAGAGGGGCUGAGCAAAGCGGUAACAUAGCCACACAACGGUUUGCUGGGAUGGUGAAAAGGGUUAGAGGCUAGCAUGGCAAAUGGGGAGGCAUGAUAAACAAGUGGUAGGUAGCGCGACAUAGCGAUAGUAUCGUGACAACUAGCAUAGCAAAGAUAGUAGUGAGAUCCAAGGUGACGAUCAUCUUACCUGAAAUCCCGCUAGGAAGAAGAUCGAAUACAUGAAGUAGACGAACCAACAUAGUCGAAUUGAUCCUCACAAUCGCAACGUAACCGGAACUAUCAAGGAGAAGCUCAACCGGAAAGAAGCAAACAUCAUGGUAACAACCAUCACAUAAACAUGGCAUGAUGCACAAUCAAGUAUGAUGCAUGUCCAGUUUAAUGAGUCAUGGCAUGGCAAAGUGCAACAAACAAUACUACAAGUUAAGCGAAGCUCAAUAUGCAACGAGUUGCAUAUUGAAGAAACACCAUAUUUAAUUAUUUAGUUUGCUCUCGUUAAAACUACUCAACAAUAUUAGAUGUUGGUUAACAUGACAAGAGGUGAAGCAUAAUUGAACUACCUAUCUAGGCAAGUUUAAGUGAGGCCGGAAACAACAAACAACAAUUCUGAUAAAUCCCCAUAUGUCAUUUAGCAAUUUGAUGCAAACAACAAUUUUAAAGAUUUUAAACGUUGUUAUCAUGAUGCGGAUGACAUAUGCAAGUUAUAUGCAAUUUUAAGAAAAUGUUGACAUGAGCAUGUUAUGAAGCAUUUGUCAUCGUGCCGGAAUGAAAGGGGUGCCACGGCAACGACAACGGAAAUGGUGCCACGGCAACAUUCCGAUGAUCCGACAACUCAGUGAGACACCGGUGCAAAAGAGCAAGUGUGUGGACGUGCGGAACAUGCUAGAGAUGGUGGGGUGAUCCCGGUUACCGGGUUCCCACGGGUCGACGCAUGGCAAACGAGAAAGACCGUGCAAUGACAACUCAGACACGGUGCAAACACGAGCAUCUCAUACAACACGCAUGCAUUCGUUCUCGGGCGUCGUCUCAGGUUAUACCUUUGAAGCGUGCAUUUUUAGGGCGGAACGAGUUCAAUGCGGUGUAGAUGGAAGUAGAUGUUCUCGCGAUGGUAGUCGUACAUGUCCGGAGAGGAACUUGGCGUUUCAGUCUGUAGUCGUUCGAGCGUCCGUGCGGUCUUGCCGGUGGCGUACUUGCGCUUGCAGUCCAAAUCCAAGGUCAUAGCCGUGUAUUUGAACUUGACGAAACGGGUCCCCGACGACGGUAGUGGUACAUCUCGUAGUGGAA